GCCGGUGUGGUGGAAUUGGUAGACACGCGGGAUUCAAAAUCCCGUGUCCCUAGGACGUGUCGGUUCGAGUCCGACCACCGGUAC
rnacentral:tRNA from 2 species